rnacentral:rRNA from 1 species
AUGGUCUGGGGACUCGACAUGGUGGGGCCCUUCAAAACCGCUCGAGGCGGCAUGACGCAUUUGCUGGUGGCGGUGGACAAGUUCACCAAAUGGAUCGAAGCAAGGCUAAUCAAGAAACUGGACGGGCCAACGGGCGUCCGAUUCGUCAAGGACAUCGCGGUGCGCUACGACAUGCCAAACAGCAUCAUCACAGACAACGACACCAACUUCGCCAAGGGCGCGCUCGCGCAAUACUGCUCCGUCUCUGGCAUCCGCCUCGACCUGGCUUCCGUUGCACACCCGCAGUCCAACGGCCAGGUCGAGCAGGCCAAUGGCCUCAUCCUAUUCGGCAUCAAGCCGCGGCUCGUCGAGCCACUCAUCCGUUCACCCGACAGCUAG